GUUUAUCGAAAAGUAGGUGUGCUCGGAUGAGUAAUAUAAACGAUGCCUAAUUUUAUAACGUGUAUAUAACGUGGGGACAAAGUGGCAUUACUUGUACCAUUCAUUGCCACGCUUCAAGAAGAAGCUCAGACUGAAAUUCUAAAGGCAUCCUGGUCUUAGCCAUCAUCUCAGAUUUUACCAGCGCAUUAGAAGUGAGGGGCAGAUUUUCUGUGGCACCCAGAUAUAAGGAGUGUAGACUUCCCUCAACUACAGAACAUAGUGUACAGGUUUUCUGAGAACAAAACAUCCCCAGCUACUGCCGCUGCCAAUUGGUACAGUGGGUGCUUGUAGCACGCAGCGUUUCCAACC
rnacentral:lncRNA from 1 species